GACAGCAGCAGCCGCGGUAAUACGAAUGGUGCAAGCGUUAAUCGGAAUUACUGGGCGUAAAGGGCUCGCAGGCGGUUUCUUAAGUCUGAUGUGAAAGCCCCCGGCUCAACCGGGGAGGGUCAUUGGAAACUGGGAAACUUGAGCGCAGAAGAGGAGAGUGGAAUUCCACGUGUAGCGGUGAAAUGCGUAGAGAUGUGGAGGAACACCAGUGGCGAAGGCGACUCUCUGGUCUGUAACUGACGCUGAGGAGCGAAAGCGUGGGGAGCGAACAGGAUUAGAUACCCCCGUAGUCCCUGUCUCUUAUAC
rnacentral:rRNA from 1 species